AAUGUCUCAUUUGGAGAAAAUCAGUCUGCCCAAACUAAGAUGAAAAUUUGCAGCAAUGUGGAAAAUCAAGUGCAAGAUUUCCUAGGAUCAAAGGCUUCCAGGAAAUGCCUCUAAAGGGCAUAAUUUUGAAAAACAAAACACGAAAAAGAGAAACAUGCACUGGCCCUGAAAGGAGUGAAGGAAAAUGAGACUGCACCACCGGAUCCACAGAGGGAGACGGAAAAAGAAAAAGGAAAGGAGCCAUGAACAGAAACAAACAUAACCUUUUCCUAAAAGGUUCUCCAUCUAUAAAAAUCGGCAAAAUGUCCCUGACUUCCAACCUUACUGGGAUUAAAUGCUGAGGAGGAUGAAGAGGACGAGCAGGAAGAGGAGGGAAAAAAGUACUGGUAUUUGUAAGCACUGUUCUA